AGACUGGUAAGUUAAUAUAAACUGUGGGGUUCAUGUCUCCAUUUUACAUCUAUUGAUGUCUGGUUGA
rnacentral:tRNA from 1 species